UAUCGUCUGCAUGAAGCACUGGCACCAUCUAGCGGUGGUUUCUAACAAUUCAUACCAUUUUCCAGUUUGCCGCUAGGUGGUGUUGGUAUUGUUUAUAAAAAUGGCGAAAUGUGUGAAGUGUUUUGUCAUCUUCUGUUUUCGAAUUUUCAUGUUUCACUGCCCAAAAUCAACCAAUUAUUUACAUAAAAGUACCUGCCGUCUAGUCAACAGAUUAAAUUUGGACCCCAUUUUAAAAACAAAUUGCUGGACACUUCCUUAACUCACACCUUCAGCUUCAUAUGCAUCAUCCUCUCAACACUCAACAAAACUUUUGUGGCAUUGGAUGUGUGGUUACAGGUUCAUUCUUGCCUGAAAGAUGUUUACACCUUUGAUCACUUGGUGGUGUGGUCGCGUCAUGAAAUUAUAUUGCUGCCAUUCCCUGCAUCUCUCACUUCACAGCUACAAGAAAUGAGUUAUAGGAAACCUACAACAGAUUGAGGUUGUGUGGUAUGCCAUUGGAUUUCGCGAGUCAGCCGCCGAUGUCAAUCUACAACGCAGUUUAUUUAUUGAAAUUGUGUGGCCCUGGAUGCUGGCCUUUGUCCUUUUACAGAAGAGUGACUUCUACCAACUUUCUGCUCCAUCCUUAUCUUCGCUUCCCACACUCAUCUAGCUUCUCUGCAUAUUAUGACUGCCAAACAAUUUGUCCUACUUCACUGACGAGUUAGACCAGUCGCUUCCGUCUGCAGCGACACACCUACUGUCACUCACCACGAGAUUAUGCCCAGGUAAUGCAGAGGAGACGUUGAGAAGAUGGACACCAUAAGGUCGCCAAUAUCUGGGAAAAUCAGCGCGGAUCAUCAGCAGCUUUUUAUUUUUCUUCAUUAUUCGUGGGCACCAACUAAUAACCUAAGAUGUCUCCCAUCCUGCGACCAGAGACACGAUCGCUGUGGGUCCCACUACAAGAACUUCAUGGCAGAUUACCGAGUCUUUCAACGCGGAUCAUCAUUUAUUGUUGGUAUAUAUGUCUUUGCUAGUUAACCCGUUGGCUGCCACGUCUUUGUUCUCCCCUAGCUCCUUAGCACG
rnacentral:lncRNA from 1 species